CCUACGGGUGGCAGCAGUGAGGAAUCUUGGUCAAUGGACGAGAGUCUGAACCAGCCAAGUAGCGUGAAGGAUGACUGCCCUAUGGGUUGUAAACUUCUUUUAUAUGGGAAUAAAAUGUUCCACGUGUGGGAUUUUGUAUGUACCAUAUGAAUAAGGAUCGGCUAACUCCGUGCCAGCAGCCGCGGUAAUACGGAGGAUCCGAGCGUUAUCAGGAUUUAUUGGGUUUAAAGGGAGCGUAGGUGGAUUGUUAAGUCAGUUGUGAAAGUUUGCGGCUCAACCGUAAAAUUGCAGUUGAAACUGGCAGUCUUGAGUACAGUAGAGGUGGGCGGAAUUCGUGGUGUAGCGGUGAAAUGCUUAGAUAUCACGAAGAACUCCGAUUGCGAAGGCAGUUCACUGGACUGCAACUGACACUGAGGCUCGAAAGUGUGGGUAUCAAACAGGAUUAGAUACCCGGGUAGUC
rnacentral:rRNA from 1 species